rnacentral:misc_RNA from 1 species
CCCACCCAAGCAGCACACGUACACAUACACGCGCCACAGCAAAAUUUCGCAAACGCGUGACGUCGACUGACUUGAAGCGCCUUUGUGCUUCACUCUCUGAAGUAUCGAACGAAGCAGUUCAGACUACGUUGCCAUGGGCGACCCGUUUGUGCGGCCGGGGCUGGAGUAUGCUCCGCAUGUGGAGCAGGUUCUGCUGAAGCACGAGGGAACCAUGACGCUGGAGACCACCAAGGAUGACUGGAUGCGGUACCAGCACCGCGACACACUUGCGACUAUCAUUGAGCACCGCGACCAGCUUGAGUACCUGUGUGUUGCAGAGAACCUUCCCCCUGCCAAGAUGGAGAGGGUUUUGCUAGAGCGCAUGGUGGACCCGAUCGCAAAGCGCUGAUGAGCGCAUUAGCUGCGGGACGCUUAUUCUUUGGAUGCGUGGGGCUGCCCUUGAGGCCACGCAUGCGUACAGCGUACAUGAUCGCCGCUGUGUGCACCUUCACCUGCUUGUUUGCCGGAUGUGUGACCGUAUGACGUGCCAGAGGAGAGCCGUGCGCCACGUAUGGGCUCGAUGGCUUGAGCCGCAGACUAAGAGUACACUUCCCCUGCAGCGAGAAACAGAAACGAGGCGAAAAGUGAGGCAACUGCGAAGGGAACGGAGAGGAGGCUUAGCGUGCCCGCUUGGUGGUCAGGAGGAGCGCAGGUAAUCGUAUUCGUCAGCUGCAACAGCCGGGGGCAGAGUAUGUAUUCAUGCAUACAUUAUAUAUAUAUAUUUGUGCGUGUAUGAAAGGCAGCUCGUGAUAGAUCGGCCUAGGUACGCCUGACAGAGCUGUCUCUGCACCGCUCCUCCGGCUCACUGCUUUUUCCUCUUCUACCCGGCAUGCCCCCCCCCCCCCCCACUCUGUCCCUGCCCACUGCCGAACCACUUCUAGUGGUGACAGGAUCAACGCACCCUACGACGUAGCGAAGCUAGAACGGUGCAUCGCGAUCGAUGACGGCCGGUCAGGUCCUGAUAGGCUUCAGAGCAACCUGCGACAACGCACAGGUUUCGUACUGUUCACAAAAUGGGCAGAAUGCCAGCGUGACUCGAGCGUACCUCAAAGUGUCUAGUUGCGAGGAAUCUGAGCCCCACCCGAUGGGGGGGGUGCACCAGGUGGCGACCAGCAUGAUGAGGGAGCGGCUGGUGCGUAGUGCUCGAGGCAGAGGGCCGUGCUCAGAGGACUGUGCCGGCGCACGGCUGUAAAGCGUCUUUCGGGCUGCCUCGCACUACGCGACUGGGGCCUGUGACAGGCCCGUGGAUGAUGGGGUGGCGUUGGACUCGUAUGACAGAGAACAGACACGUUGAGAAAAAAAGUUGCCGGCGUGGCUUUCCAGUGAUUUCUGCCGACGCACGCUGCUCUGCAGUCGGGUAGUGCAGUGACGCUUGGACUCUCCUGCUCUCAUUACUGCCUCUUCACCUUCUCUUGUCUGCGCUGAUACUCGCACCGUGUUUCUGUGUUCUGGCUCUCUGCUUUUCGUCCUUCUCCAUCGUCACGCGCGCGCCCAAACACACACACACACACACACGCAUGCACAACGGCAAG